UUGGAGGGCAAGUCUGGUGCCAGCAGCCGCGGUAAUUCCAGCUCCAAUAGCGUAUAUUAAAGUUGUUGCAGUUAAAAAGCUCGUAGUUGAAUUUCGGGGUCAGUAGGCUGGUCGUGCCACAGGUAUGUACUGGUCUCACUGAUUCCUCCUUCCUGAUGAACCGUAAUGCCAUUAAUUUGGUGUUGCGGGGAAUCUGGACUGUUACUUUGAAAAAAUUAGAGUGUUUAAAGCAGGCUAACGCUUGAAUACAUUAGCAUGGAAUAAUGAAAUAGGACGAUCGAUCCUAUUUUGUUGGUUUCUAGGAUUGACGUAAUGAUUAAUAGGGAUAGUUGGGGGCAUUAGUAUUCAAUUGUCAGAGGUGAAAUUCUUGGAUUUAUUGAAGACUAACUACUGCGAAAGCAUUUGCCAAGGAUGUUUUCAUUAAUCAAGAACGAAAGUUAGGGGAUCGAAGACGAUCAGAUACCGUCGUAGUCUUAACCAUAAACUAUGCCGACUAGGGAUCGGAUGAUGUUAAUUUUUUAAUGACUCNUUCGGCGCCUUACGGGAAA
rnacentral:rRNA from 1 species